AUUAUUUAUCCUUACUUUUUAAUGAUCUAAAUUAAAACAAAUGUCAUUUUGUGUGCUUGACUGCAAAAGGGUUGAGCACUAUUCUUUGCCUGCUGGCCACAUUGCCAGCCGGCUUUGACAGGCUGAUUCAAACGAGCAUUAAAGGUUUUAUACUUUUAGUGUGUACACCCUCGUGCCCCCUCUGCGGCGGAACGGGAGGGGGACACCUUUGGGUGUGCUGGCCUCGUUUGACCAGUCUGUCAACCCUCUUUCGUUCUGCC
rnacentral:rRNA from 1 species